rnacentral:lncRNA from 1 species
ACGUAUAGAUUGAAAGAUUGAGUCUUGAAUUAGGUUGCUUAGUGGUUUGAUUUAGCCCAUACCAGUUAGACCGGUCAUAUGAUGACUGAUUAGAUGAGAUCUAAACUUAAAUCUUUUCAUAAAUAUUAAGUCCAUAGGUCUUCCAUUAUUGUAGAUGUGCGGGUAUGCUACCGGCAUUGAUUAUUCUCGAUUGGUUACAGUAGUUUAGUUGUAUUGGAAAUAUGCAAUCACUCUAUUAGCAAAGAGUUACUCCAG